GCCCACUGAAUUACUUUUUAAAGGCCGCAGUAUUCUGACUGUGCUAAGGUAGCAUAAUAAUUUGUCUCUUAAUUAGAGACUAGUAUGAACGGUCCAACGAAGAAACAACUUUUUUUAGUUUAUGAAACGAAAUUUACUUUUUAGUUAAAAGGCUAAAAUUAUUCGAAAAGACGAGAAGACCCUAAAGAGUUUGAUAUAAAAAUUUUUUAAAAAAUUUAUUUAUUAUACCCUUUUGAUGAAUUAAUAUAUUUGAUUGGGGCGAUCAAGAAAUAUCUAAAACUUUUUAUUGACAAAACUUAUUAAAAGAUUUAAUGAUCCAGUUUUAGUGAUUACAAAAAAAAAUUACCUUAGGGAUAACAGCGUUAUACUUAUUAAGAGUUCCUAUUGACAUAAGUGUUUGCGACCUCGAUGUUGGACUAGAAAUAUAUUAUAAUGCAGCAGUUAUAAUGGUAGGUCUGUUCGACCUUUAAUAUUCUACACGAUCUGAGUUCAGACCGGCGUGAGCCAGGUUG
rnacentral:rRNA from 1 species